UUAUUAUUUACAUUAAUAAUUUUAUUGUGCAAUUCAAUAUAAUUUGAUAAUAUUUAGAUAUUUAUUAAAAUUUUUUAUUUAAUAUUUUUUAAUAAAAAUAAUUUUAUUUUUAGUAUAUUUUAUAGAAAUAAUUUUUAUAUAAUUUAAAGUACUGGGAAGGAAUAUAAGUUAAAUUUUUAUAAGAACUAUUUUAAUUAGGUACCUUUUGUAUCAGGGUUAAUUAAAUUUUUUUAAUUUAUUAAUUAUUUUCCCGAAAUAAAAAGAUUUAUAAUAUACUUUAUUGUUCAAAAAUAUAUAUAUAAUAUAGUGUUAUAUGCUAUUCAUUUCAUAUAUCUGGUUUUAAUAAUUAAUUAAUUAAUAAUUAGAAGUAUAAUUUUAAUUUAUUAUUAAUUUUUUCUAAUUAAUUAAUCAAGGAUAAGCUAUGAUUAAUUUCUAUAAUUUAAAAUUUAUUAAUUUUUGUAGGAUUAAUAUUUUCCAUCUUUUAUUUAUUUAUAUAAAAUUUUAUUUUGUUUUUUAUUUUUUAUUGAUUUAGAUAUUUAUUAAAAUUUUUUAUUUAAUAUUUUUUAUUUUUAAUAAUGAUUAAAUUAGUAUAAUUUAAAAUAAAAAUAUAAUAACUCGGCAAAUAUUAUUUUUACCUGUUUAACAAAAACAUGUCUUUUUGUGUUUUAAUUUAAAGUCAGGCCUGCCCAAUGAUUUAUUUAAUGGCCGCAGUAUACUAACUGUGCAAAGGUAGCAUAAUCAUUUGUUAUUUAAUUGAUAACUGGUAUGAAUGGUUUUAUAAAAAAUAUUCUUUUUUUAUUUUUUAUUUAAAAUUUUAUUUUAAAGUUAAAAAGCUUUAAUUUUUUUAUUAGACGAUAAGACC
rnacentral:rRNA from 1 species